GACAGAGGGGGCAAGCGUUGUUCGGAAUUACUGGGCGUAAAGGGCUCGUAGGUGGCCAACUAAGUCAGACGUGAAAUCCCUCGGCUUAACCGGGGAACUGCGUCUGAUACUGGAUGGCUUGAGUUCGGGAGAGGGAUGCGGAAUUCCAGGUGUAGCGGUGAAAUGCGUAGAUAUCUGGAGGAACACCGGUGGCGAAGGCGGCAUCCUGGACCGACACUGACGCUGAGGAGCGAAAGCCAGGGGAGCAAACGGG
rnacentral:rRNA from 1 species